UACAGAGGGUGCAAGCGUUAAUCGGAAUUACUGGGCGUAAAGCGUGCUUAGACGGUCAUGUAAGUCGGGUGUGAAAGCCCCGGGCUCAACCUGGGAAUUGCAUUCGAGACUGCAUGGCUAGGGUGCGGAAGAGGGAAGCGGAAUUUCCGGUGUAGCGGUGAAAUGCGUAGACAUCGGAAGGAACACCAGUGGCGAAAGCGGCUUCCUGGUCCAGCACCGACGUUCAGGCACGAAAGCGUGGGGAGCAAACAGG
rnacentral:rRNA from 1 species